CCUGACAACACAUGAGUUGCGUUCACUGAUAGGUUAGAAAUCAGCCAUCUUUACGUUUGUUUUACUCAGUGACAAAGAGACUAUUUCCAUGUUUGUUGACAAGAAGACAAACAUCUCCACCUGGAACAAACACGUAAAUCCCCGCCUCGUUGUCUUCCGGUUCCCCCUCCUGGCUCUCGUAGGCGCACAUGUAGUAUCCGGUGUUGUCGACUGUAGCGUUGUAAAUAAAGAGUGUGGCUGUGUAGUAACCCGGGUACACGAAGGUGUUCUCCGGUAAGGGUUCAGCCCAGAUCACAGUCUGCUUCCCCGUGCAGCUGAUGUUGAACACAGAGUUGGGCUGCAGGAUGAACUCCUCAUGGUUGGACACGAUGGUCGGGGGUGGGAGUCCACAGGUCACUGAAGGAGAGUUCACGCAUUAGACUCUAGAAGAGCUGCUGUACUGUAAAACAUAAAUAUUACACCUUCUUCUGAAUUAUUACCUGAAACCAGCCCCAGCAGGAUCCCCACAAAGACCACAUACACCUUCACCCCAUCCAUGAUGGAUGCUCCUCCUGCAAGACAGAAAAUGACUCCUGAUGAAGACAUUCUCAAGUUUUUUCCAGACUCCUCGCUGCUCUUCGUACAGAUCCAGUCAGGUUUAGGUUUGUCAUGGAGCUCUGCAGACCCCUGAUCUCUGCGGGUCUGGGUCUUCUUUAGGGGCCACACAGACUAAGAGGCGCUCAAUCACAGAAAACAGCUGUAUUCUUUGAUUGACCGCCUCCAAAUCACCUAAAUGUUAAACUUGUAUUCGUUUCUUCUUUGUCAAACUGUUUUCUUCUGCUUGUAUUGUGCUGUGGAUCUACUGUAUGUUAUCUCCUUUGCGUAUUUCCUCAAACAAUAAAACUUUUAGCCCCUG